CCCUCACCCUCUGCUUUAGCUUCCUCGAUCGUCGUCCUGCCGCCAAGCUCGUCGGAGCUCCGGUACCGUGAGUUUUCUAUUAUUUUCCUUUCCUCUGAAAUCCCAGUCCUGGUACUCGUUGUUUCAUUCGGGUCAUUUUCGUCAGUUAGGAUCGAUCCAGAUAAGUUUUGAGCUAACUCCGUUGGAAAAGGCGUUGAGAACCAAGAUCGAACAAUGAAAUCCAUCUAAAAUCUGCUUGAACGGGUUGGUUUCAGCGGGUUUGGUUCAGAUUUUGGACUGUUUUGGGUUAUAUUUCGAUUCGUGCAGGC
rnacentral:lncRNA from 1 species